CGGUUCAUAUUGUGCGCCUGUUGCAGUAGUAUUGAAUUCUGAUGUGUCUAACCGGUGCUCAGUUUAUGGUACCGACAUCAUGUCCUGAGAAAUCCCGAGGCACCUUCCUCAAAACAAGGACAAUCCAGGGAAACCAGGGACAGGUGGCAACCCUAAUUGAGUUGCACUUUUACAGUAAAGACUGAGUCAUUUCCCCUGUGUUUUACAUAAUCUAAAUGUGGUGUGUAUAUAUUUUGAAUACUUCCUCCUUCUUGAGCCCCGCCAAAGAAGCACAAGGGUACUGGGAGAAGCUAGUUGGUUUUAAAUUUCAUCUUCGCGUCGCUUCUGUAAUGCUGCGGGAGAGACGGCUCGGUCCUGAGCGAACUGUUUUGCGGCAGGUGCAGUAGGGACUGUGUUUCGUGUCUCAAGUCCUCUUAGAAAGAUAUUUAAAUCGGCGAGUAUGUUUUCUUUUUGGUUUUGGGUGACGAGCGCCGGUUUCACGAUUUGACUCGAGCGAUAUUUAAAUCGCUUCGAAAUGUUAAAGAAAGUAUCGAGCGAAAAAUAACCAGAACUUAAAAUAAAAAGGGGAAAAAAAGUGGCGUGGUUUAUUAAACUCGUUUAUAUAGUGAUUUAUGUUUUGCAGUUGUUUUAAACAGGUUGAACAUGCAUUCACAAAAUGCACGGUACAGACUUGUUUUUGCAUGGCGUCACUUUUGCAGUUGCUGCAAAACUAUUCUGUGCUUAAUGUAAAGUUUAUUAAAUACUGUAUAACGUUUCACUUCGUUGUGAGACGUAGUUUCACUGUCUUUUAUCUUCCCAUAUUUUUUUUUUUUUUUUAAUUAAGUAAACGUAGUUUCCUUUCUGGCCUUGCAUCGUAUCGAAAGAUGAAAGUGUAUAGUUGUUUGAAGGGUGGGCGUUAAUCAUCCACCUUCAAAUAUAACUGAUGCCUUAUGUGGUGUCAUGACCGCUGUGUCUAUCCGUGUAACAGUGCAGUACGAAUACUUUCCAAAAACGCCACAAACUGAGAGAUUUUAAAACGGAACUGCUUUUUUUAAAUCUAUGAAAAUAGGUUGUUUUUCCCUCUAUACUUAGUCAGUGUGUGGUGAUUUUGUAUUUAUUUUGUUCAUACUGAAACUCCACGGUCCUUAUCAGGUUAAGAGAUUGUCAACCACAGAAGUCUGAGGUCACCAACACAACACAGACUUCCCUGUGGUUUGUUAGGGUUAAUGACUGCAGUGUCUCUUACUGUAACUGGACUGCUUAUGAGGAGACCCAGGGUUCUUACUUACAUAUUGCAGGGUGGCAGCAAUCUAUUGAAAUGUUGAUUUUUAAAAAUGUGAUUAGACAUGUUUUUCUUUGUUAGAGUGCAGUUCUGGAGUGUUUGUAGCUGCUAUUUCUCCCAGUUCCCAUUGCUUAGGGAUACUUUCUUUUUCAUGUAUUCAUUCAUUUCAGGGAUGAAUCAAUGAGGUGAAGCACUGUGUCUCCAGUAGUAUGGCUGGCUUUCUGGACAACCCUUGUCCUGGAGAGCCACAAUCCUGCAGGCUUUCUGGGUAUCUUUAAAUCACCAAUGGCUGAAGACCUGGACAAGGAAAGACCAGAUAAGAAAAUAAUCAGUAAUUGAGAACCCUGAUGGAAUGAAAACCAGAAGUCCCUGCAUCUCUCCAGGACCUGGGCUGGCCACCGCUGAGCUGCUUGUUAUAUAAACAGCUGGGUCCGGCGUCUUCUAGAAAGACGCAAGAGAGACUCUUCUCUGGUUUCCAAGACAACCAAUCCAAGCUCUUCCCAGGGGACUGCCUCC